GACGAACGCUGGCGGCGUGCUUAACACAUGCAAGUCGAACGGAAAGGCCCUGCUUUUGUGGGGUGCUCGAGUGGCGAACGGGUGAGUAACACGUGAGUAACAUGCCCUUGACUUUGGGAUAACUUCAGGAAAAUGGGGCGAAUACCGGAUAGGAGCUCCUGCUGCAUGGUGGGGGUUGGAAAGUGUCGGCGGUUGGGGCUGGACUCGCGGCUUAUCAGCUGGUUGGUGGGGUAGUGGCGGACCACGGCGUUGACGGGUAGCCGGCCUGAGAGGGUGACCGGCCACAUUGGGCCUGAGAUACGGCCCAGACGCCUACGGGAGGCAGUAGUGGGGAAUAUUGCACAAUGGGCGGAAGCCUGAUGCAGCAACGCCGCGUGCGGGAUGACGGCCUUCGGGUUGUAAACCGCUUUCGCCUGUGACGAAGCGUGAGUGACGGUAAUGGGUAAAGAAGCACCGGCUAACUACGUG
rnacentral:rRNA from 1 species